AGUGAACGCUGGCGGUAGGCCUAACACAUGCAAGUCGAACGGCAGCACAGUAAGAGCUUGCUCUUACGGGUGGCGAGUGGCGGACGGGUGAGGAAUACAUCGGAAUCUACUUUUUCGUGGGGGAUAACGUAGGGAAACUUACGCUAAUACCGCAUACGACCUACGGGUGAAAGCAGGGGAUCUUCGGACCUUGCGCGAUUGAAUGAGCCGAUGUCGGAUUAGCUAGUUGGCGGGGUAAGGGCCCACCAAGGCGACGAUCCGUAGCUGGUCUGAGAGGAUGAUCAGCCACACUGGAACUGAGACACUGUCCAGACUCCUACGGGAGGCAGCAGUGGGGAAUAUUGGACAAUGGGCGCAAGCCUGAUCCAGCCAUACCGCGUGGGUGAAGAAGGCCUUCGGGUUGUAAAGCCCUUUUGUUGGGAAAGAAAAGCAGCAGGUUAAUACCCCGCUGUUCUGACGGUACCCAAAGAAUAAGCACCGGCGAACUGCGU
rnacentral:rRNA from 1 species